rnacentral:lncRNA from 13 species
UAAUUGUUUGUUAUCUGUAAGGUUUCCAGUCAAUAGGAGGCUACAAGUAAUUAAGCUUUGGAGAGGCUGGGCACAGUGGCUCAUGCCUGUAAAUCCCAACACUUUGGGAGGCCAAGAUGGGAGGAUCACUUGAGCCCAGGAGUUUGAGAUCAACCUGGGCAGCACAGGGAGACCCUGUCUCUUAAAAAAAAAAAAAAAAUGUCCAGGGAUUAUAGGUGUGAUAUACCACCCAGCCAGUGUCUGCUUUAGUAAUAAUUUCUGACACUUUAAAUUUAUACUUAAUAUGCUUUUCUGUAUGUAUUAAUUAUUAUAAAAUAUUUUUAAAAUAAACACAUAUUAAUAAUGUUGUUUCUGGGUGCAUCCUAAUCUCAGAGUAAAACAAGUUAUUUCCUAAACAAUGUUAACAAUAUUGAAUUUAAAAUGACAAUUUAGGAGGUGGGCAGAUCACCUGAGGUCAAGAGUUCGAGACCAGCCUAGCCAACACCAUGAAACCUCCUUUCUACUAAAAUAUAAAAAUUAGCUGGGUGUGGUGGCGUGUACCUGUAAUCCCUUCUACUCAGGAGGUUGAGGCUGGAGAAUUGCUUGUAACCAGGAGGCAGAGGUUGCAGUGGUUAGCUGAGAUCAUGCCACUGCUCCCCAGCCUGGGUGACAAGAGCAAAACUCCAUUUCAAAAAAAAAAAAAAAGACAAUUGAUCAUCCUGGCUUAGGAUUAAAAAAAGAAUAAGGACAGACUUUAGGAGUUAAGUAUCUCUAUGGGGAAGAGAAGAGAAUUCCACACCCUGUAAAUAUUUUUUUGCAAGAUAAGGAUAGAAGAAAAAGAACUGCAGAACACGAGGAGAAAUUAUGUUUUCUUGAAAUUAAAAAUAAAAUUGAAAAAGAAAAGAAAAAAAAUAAAAUUGAAUACAAUCCCAACACCCUCAACCAUUCAUAAUUUUGAUUUCUGCAUACUUUCCUUUGUAUAAUACAUAUAAAUGUGUAUAAGCUAUCAAAACAUUAAAAUAUAUAUGUGUGUGUGUGUGUGUGUGUGUGUGUGUGUGUGUGUGUGUGUAUGUGUGUUUGUGUGUAUAUGUAAUCCCAGCACUUUGGGAGGCCGAGGUGGGCGGAUCACGAGGUCAAGAGAUCGAGACCAUCCUGGCUAACAUGGUGUAACCCCGCCUCUACUAAAAAUACCAAAAAAUUAGCUGGGCACCGUGGCACACGCCUGUGGUCUCAGCUACUUGGGAGGCUGAGGUGGAAGAAUCACUUGAAUCCAGGAGGCGGAGGUUGCAGUGAGCUGAGAUUUUGCCACUGCACUCCAGCCUGGUGACAGAGCAAGACUCCGUCUCAAAAAAAAAAAGAAAAAAAAAAAAUAUAUAUAUAUAUAUAUAAAACUAUACACAUAAAACAGUACCUACAGUACAUAUAAAAUACACAUACUGAUAUAUAAGUUGUAAGUAAAUGUAGUAUAAGUUGCUUGUGCUUUCUUUUUACCUUUUUAAUAACUGUGUAAGAUCCAUUUAGAUUGAUGACCUAAAUAAGUUUUCCUAUAUAAAAUAAGGCAGACAUGAACAUAUUUGUAAAUAUGCUAUUCUCAGUGAUGUUUUAAAGAAAAUUUGCUAGUCUAAGUGUCUGAAUUAAACUUUACUAAGAACUUUAUAGCUCACUCCAUGUUGCCAUAUAGCUUUUUUUUUUUUCUGAGACAGAGUUUUGCUCUAUCACGCAGGCUGGAGUGCAGUGGCAUGAUCUCAGUUCACUGCAACCUCUGCCUCCCGGGUUCCGAAUAGCUGGGAUCACAGGCACGCAGUACCAUGACUGACUAAUUUUUGUAUUUUUAGUAGAGAUAGAGUUUCACCAUCUCGAACUCCUGACCUUGUGAUCUGCCUGCCUUAGCCUCCCAAAGUGUUGAGAUUACAGGCAUGAGCCACCAUACCCAGCCCAACUUUUUUUAAAAAAAGAAGACUAAGGCCAGGCACAGUGGCUUAUGCCUGUAAUCCUAGCACUUUGGGAGGCCGAGGUGGGUGGAUUACCUGAGGUCAGGAGUUCAAGACCAGCCUGGCCAUCAUGGUGAAACCCCAUCUCUUAAAAAAAUAAAAUAAAUAAAAAUUAAAUUAAAAAAAAUUAA